CCGCCUCCCACUCUCUCCCUGUUUAUUUCAAAACCCCUUUCCCCUCCCCCUUUUCUGAUGAAGGGUCUAGGCCCGAAACGUCAGCCUCUCUGCUCCUAUGAUGCUGCUUGGCCUGCCGUGUUCAUCCAGCCCUGCACCUUGUUGUCUCGGAUUCUCCAGCAUCUGCAGUUCCUACUAUCUCUGACCGAACUGUCAGACAGUUUUCCGCUUGUGGACCCCGCAGCCCUCCACGUGCAAUAUAGAAUGCUGCCAGACCCAAUGGAACUUUCUUGUUUCUCCAUCUCUGGGUCUUGAUGAUUCUUCCCAUGCGUACCCCUCAGUCUACUGCUGCCGGACUUUCCUGCCGACCAGGAUAUGUUUGAUUGUCAGAGUUAAACAGUGUUGUGAAUGUAAGGUGAAGCCAAAUAGCUCAGGCAACAUGAAACCAGGUGAAGGCUGCCCCUGCUGGUAAGAAAUAGAAGCCUUCACUUGUGCUGUAACCCCAGUGCACCUUUUUGAUGAGCUUCAAAUGCAAAGUGAAAAUAAAAUUUUCUUUAACCCAA